rnacentral:rRNA from 1 species
GAUGAACGCUGGCGGCGUGCCUAAUACAUGCAAGUCGAGCGAACAGGCGAGGAGCUUGCUCCUCUGACGUUAGCGGCGGACGGGUGAGUAACACGUGGAUAACCUACCUAUAAGACUGGGAUAACUUCGGGAAACCGGAGCUAAUACCGGAUAAUAUAUUGAACCGCAUGGUUCAAUAGUGAAAGACGGUUUUGCUGUCACUUAUAGAUGGAUCCGCGCCGCAUUAGCUAGUUGGUAAGGUAACGGCUUACCAAGGCAACGAUGCGUAGCCGACCUGAGAGGGUGAUCGGCCACACUGGAACUGAGACACGGUCCAGACUCCUACGGGAGGCAGCAGUAGGGAAUCUUCCGCAAAGGGCGAAAGCUUGACGGAGCAACGCCGCGUGAGUGAUGAAGGUCUUCGGAUCGUAAAACUCUGUUAUUAGGGAAGAACAAAUGUGUAAGUAACUAUGCACGUCUUGACGGUACCUAAUCAGAAAGCCACGGCUAACUACGUG